rnacentral:pre_miRNA from 1 species
CAGGUCACGUCUCUGCAGUUGCACGGCUCUGAGUGCCUGCUGGGGUGGAACCUGGU